CUUUUAUACACCCAUAACAUUAUUUUUUUUCAAUCUAUGAUAACUGUUGCGACGGAGCGCGUCCGAAGCAGCCCCCUGUUCAACGUCAUUCGUCUUUGUUUGUGUUGCUUUGUCAGGUGCCCGUGCUGUCGCUUGGCAAGAAUCAGAAGUUGAAAACAAACUGAAGCAAGCGGGAGCACGGGCGCAGCUGGGAACGAGAAUCCGUUCCAGCUGUGAAAAGACACCGAAGUUCUUUUUAGCGUACGUAAAAUGGAAGGAAGUUUCAUUUUGUUCAGCUUAGAAAUCUGGUGCCCGACCACGUGCCCGACACUCUUUAGCCGCUCGUUUCAACAAUAACGAAGGAUUUUUUAGUUAGAAUCACGUUAUUUUAAAUGUUACUAAACUAAAAAGCAACUUGUGGGCAUUCAGUGAUGACUUAACAUAAAGAAAAUUAAAUAAAUUGCUAGCGAGUUUCGAAA